rnacentral:rRNA from 1 species
GCGAACGCUGGCGGCAGGCUUAACACAUGCAAGUCGAGCGGGCACUUUCGGGUGUCAGCGGCGGACGGGUGAGUAACGCGUGGGAACGUGCCCUCUGGUUCGGAAUAACUCAGGGAAACUUGAGCUAAUACCGGAUACGCCCUUUUGGGGAAAGGCUUGCUGCCGGAGGAUCGGCCCGCGUCUGAUUAGCUAGUUGGUGAGGUAACGGCUCACCAAGGCGACGAUCAGUAGCUGGUCUGAGAGGAUGAUCAGCCACACUGGGACUGAGACACGGCCCAGACUCCUACGGGAGGCAGCAGUGGGGAAUAUUGGAUAAUGGGCGCAAGCCUGAUCCAGCCAUGCCGCGUGAGUGAUGAAGGCCUUAGGGUUGUAAAGCUCUUUUAUCCGGGACGAUAAUGACGGUACCGGAGGAAUAAGCCCCGGCUAACUUCGUG